rnacentral:misc_RNA from 1 species
CAGAGUGUAAAAACUCCCAACCCACUGUGAACCUACCAAAACGUUGCCUCGGCGCGGUCCCCAGGGGCUGCGCCGGGGGCCCUUAACUCUUGUAUCAUUGGAAUCUCUGAGUGGCUGAAAAGCAAAAAUAAGUUA